rnacentral:rRNA from 1 species
CCUACGGGUGGCAGCAGUGAGGAAUAUUGGUCAAUGGGAGAGAUCCUGAACCAGCCAAGCCGCGUGAGGGAAGACGGCCCUAUGGGUUGUAAACCUCUUUUGUCGGAGAACAAAACCCGGGACGUGUGCCUGACUGCGUGUAUCCGAAGAAAAAGCAUCGGCUAACUCCGUGCCAGCAGCCGCGGUAAUACGGAGGAUGCGAGCGUUAUCCGGAUUUAUUGGGUGUAAAGGGCGUGUAGCCGGGUUGACAAGUCAGAUGUGAAAUCCUGCGGCUUAACCGCAGAACUGCAUUUGAAACUGUUGAUCUUGAGUACUGGAGAGGCAGACGGAAGUCCCAGUGUAGCGGUGAAAUGCGUAGAUAUUAGGAGGAACACCAGUGGCGAAGGCGGUAUGCUGGACAGCAACUGACGGUGAGGCGCGAAAGCGUGGGGAGCGAACAGGAUUAGAUACCCCAGUAGUC